AAGUGAGAAUGCCGGUAUGAGUAGCGAAAGACGGGUGAGAAUCCCGUCCACCGAAUGCCUAAGGUUUCCUGAGGAAGGCUCGUCCGCUCAGGGUUAGUCAGGACCUAAGCCGAGGCCGACAGGCGUAGGCGAUGGACAACAGGUUGAUAUUCCUGUACCACCUCUUUAUCGUUUGAGCAAUGGAGGGACGCAGAAGGAUAGAAGAAGCGUGCGAUUGGUUGUGCACGUCCAAGCAGUUAGGCUGAU
rnacentral:rRNA from 2 species